rnacentral:lncRNA from 1 species
CCACCCUCCUCGAGGUGCCCAGGGCAAGUGCCUGAUGAGCUGUGCCCCAGAGGGACUCCCUCACAGCCAGAGCAAGCGUCCCCAAGAUGAUGUCCCAUGGGGCCCCGGGCUCUUAAAGAAAUACGUGGAAGAUCAGGAGCCUCUCAAACAGAGAGCCCCCAGGAGUGGCCCCAGGUGCCCAGGGCGGGACAAGGAGGAGAUAGACCCAUCCCCACCACUGCAAAGAGUAGCGCAAAGGACUAGACACCUGCUUUUGGGGGGCCCGUGCAGGGUGCAGUGGGAUCCUGUGAUGGCCCGAGAUGGGAUGAUGCUGGUCUUUGCAACCGUGAUCAAGUCAAGAUGAGGUCCUAUGAUUGGGAGGCGUCCGAAUCCAAUGACGGGCGUCCUUCUGAGAAGAAGCAAACUGGGACACAGACAUACGCAGAAGGGACACUUCUACGUGAAGAUGGAGGCAGAGACGGCAGUGAUGUAUCUAGAAACAGAGGAAGCCGGAGGGGUGCCGCCUGAAGCCAGGAGCUGGGCAUGGAGCUGGUUCCCCCUGGAACAUCGGAGGGAACGUGGUCCUGCUGACACGUCAAGUUCACACUUCCAGCCUCCAGAGCUAAGCAGCCAGACGGGCAAAACCCAGAGACACCCAAUGCUGGACUCUCAGCUCCUUCCCUGGCCUCUCUGGCUCCCUCUGGACCCUGCAGAACAUUCUGGAGCAUCUUCUCACAUCUGCAGACCCCUGCAGCCUGUCUUGUGGUUGCAAAGACACCAGGGAGAAGCUGCUCUAGUGGGUACUCGCUCUGCAAGGAGCUGGCUGCACAAGGGCUGCUCAGUAAAGUGA